GGAACCUAUUUUCAUGGUUAACAUUGCCCCUGUUUCACAUUGAAAACAUGAAAAUGCGUAUUUUUGGUAUUCGGGACAAUCAUCAAGGGUCUUCCUCUAGGUCAUGCCGAAGAGAAGGAAAACAGAACUCAGCAAGCUCUGAAGUUUAUUCAAGUUUGCAGUAAUCAGCAGGGGCCCCCUCUGGCUGUGCCGAGGCACAGAAAAGGCACAGCCUGGACUUUUUUAAGUCCCCAUCCAACUGGUGUUGUGGAGUCAUAAUAGGAUAAUUCUCCUAUCCCAAUGCUGCUGUGGAUGUUUUGCAAACUAAGAGGGGGUGAAAAGCCUCCAGGAUGCACUCCAAGACUAGAGGUGGAUAAACUGCAGAAAUCCUGCACAUCAGGUCUCAGAAGACUGACUCUUGGCAGUCUCACAAAUGGAUCUUACAAGUGUCACGUGUGGUCACCCUGGGCCUGGGAUGGGACCUGAGAACAUCAAGAAAGGCAUUGCUAACCAGCGUACAGGAGAAGGAGCCAACUGCUCUAAAAGAGAAAUCUCUGUCCCCAUUAGCAGUCACCCUCAGCCCCUUCACCUACCCUGGAAACCACUAAUCCACGUUGAGUCUCUUCUGGACAUUUCGUAUAAAUGGAGUGAUACAUGGUUUUUAUGUCUGGUUUCUUCCGCUCGGCACAGUGUUUCCAACAAUCAUCCAUGUUGCAGCACAGUCCAUGCUGCACCCCUUCUUAGGGCAGAAAGAUGUUCCCUGGUCCCAAUGGGCUGCUUGCAAAUCAUGCUGUGGUGAGCAUUCACUUGCACGUUUGUGUGUGUGGCCAUGUUCAGCUGCUCCUCAGUCAAGUAUAGGGUUACCAUAUCACCUCGCAGUGGCGCUAGAAAGAAUAUUGUUUCCUAUAUAAAAGCCCUGUUGCUUCUUUUUCUGGUUUAAUUGUCCUGGUUAGAAAGGAUGAGAGUGGACAUCCUUAUCUUGUUCAGACCUCCAGGAAGCCAUCCAACUUCUCACUGUUGAGAGUGGCUCAGGCUGUGGGUUUUCAUGACUAUCCUUUGGUUGAAGACGUUAUCUUUCUUUUCCCGACCAGAAGUAAAUGCUAUUCCAAAUCGUAUUCCAAAAAUAAAAAGGAUCAGGGAAAAGAGUUGCGUGAUCACUAGCAUAUUUGCAAACAAAGCCUAUGAGUAAUCAGUCCUCUGAGCAGUCUCUCCCCUGCUGCGCAGGUGCCAUUGCAGUCGGUUUGUGUCCAUCUGCUCACGUGCUCCACUGUGCACCCAGGAUACGCAUGUGUGAUGACUCCCUGACUGAAGAGAUUUAAACUUUAUUUAGAGGGUUUAUUUAUUGUCUUUUCCCUUUUUUAUUAGUUAAAAGUCACAUAAGAACUGUGACUUAACAUGGAAAGAUCACUACAACUGGUUUUGCUAAAUUCCUAUCUUCGUGCUCCAACUAGCGGUGAGUGCUGAAGUCAAGGAAUGUCUGCUGAGACAAAAUGAGAGUUUUGUCACAGCGGCAGAGACCCAGGCAAAAAACGAAGUGAGUUCUGGCCUGCUAGCAUUUGGGGAGAGAGCUGCCAUGGACUAUGGUAAGCUCUGGGCUUGUCCAUGCUUCAUCCUAGGUCACAGUAAGCUCACCAGCCCCUGCCCCACCUUGAUGGGCGUUACCUUCAGGAAACCGGCUGCGCCUGGUCAGAGCCAGCAGAGUUGUCUGGCUGCAGAAGAAGGCGGACCAGUGUACUUGUCUUUUGGUGAUUGUUUUAGAGCCAUUGGGAAGCUCAGGUACUUUUUCACUCCUGCUUUGUGUAGCACUUCUUUUCCCUGUGCUCACUGGUGUCCUGUCCUGUAGAAAUCUUUUCCUUGGCUUAGUGUCUCACAUUGCUAGGCUCUCCCUUUUAUCUUUAACUUCCCUGCAGAAACCAAAUUCAGACAGGAAGCUGACUCUGUAUUCACACUCUUGUUUCUUGAGGCACACCUCUCUCUGCUGACUCUCAGGAUGCGUCUUUGUGGGGAGCAGACUACCUGCCACCUGGCUUCUCUGUGCGGCCUGGGCCAUCUCCAUCCUCAGGAGUCAAUAAUUUUUUGAAGAAUAAAUGUAAAUUUUGAUAAGCCCUGUGAACAUGCCUUAUGGAGGACACAAGGCAGAUUCAGAAUAAAAACUGUCUCGCUCCCUCCAAAGACGUGCAGGUGCCUGGAAAAGUGUGAUUAACUCUGUUUUUCCCCUGUCAGUGCUGUUUUACAGUCUUCUGUUGUUUCCAAAAUAUAUUGACCAAAAACACUACCUUAAAGUGAGAAAUAAUCAUUAGUGCUUCUUUCCAAAUGUUACUGGAAAUAAAUGUAAAUAAAGUCAAAUUAUCAGACCCUGGGAAGAUCGAUUCCUUGGCCAUCAACAAGCAAAGUCAAGCAGAUAAGUUUGCUUUUGCACCAGAGAAUUCAUUGUUUUCUGAAUGUAUUUCCAGGAUCUCAAGUUGGGUGCAGAACCUCGUCUUCAGGGCCCACCCCAUGGUGUGUCCUGCCAGGUGUCUGUCUUGCUGUGGCUGGCGACAGCAGGUAGUGAGGAAUGGGACAGGAGGUUAGCUGAGCACCAGUCAUUUGAGCAGUGGGCCAGGUUAUUAAGGGUGGGGGGGCAGGAGCAGCCAGGAGGAGCCAGGGAGGACUGUUGGGCUCCCCUACAGUCUAAGGCUGGAAGCUGGGCUGCCCUCCUGACAUUUUGGUGCAUAAGUCUUUGCCAUGGAAUACCCUGUGCAGUGCAGGAUGUAUGUAAGUACCCCUGGCCUACACCAGGUAGAUGGCAGUAGCAUCUUCCUGAGCUAGAGUGAGGGCAGACAUAACUGGGCCAGGAGCACCCCCAGGAAAAACCAGCCCAACCUGGGUCUCAGGUGCUGGCGUUGGAGCCACUUCCUACAAGUGAUGCUCUUCAAGAUUAGCCCCAGAAACAUCUGGGGCAUUGACAGAGUAAGAACCCAAGAGACCGGACCUGGGGAGGGUGCCCACCGGUCCUGGGGCGCAACUAUGGAUUAAACGGUUACCCUGCUUGGAGAUCCUAUGUGAGGUCAGGGUCCCUCCUCAGGAAGUUGAUGGUGCUUCCUUCCUUCCCACCAAGCCCCUUCCAGCUCUGUGUCCGGGCCUGCCAGCACCUGUCGGUGCCCUGCCAAGCUCUGCAGCAGGAGCCUCAGGUCAGCACAGGCUCCUCCUCUGGUGUCACAGCCAGACUCCAGCCAGGUUGGUGAGUCACCAACCAGUACCGUCGCAGAGGCCCUCUAUACUUUCUUGUGGUUUAUUCACUUUCCUGUGUACUCCUUGUCUGUGGACACUGAAUUUUAGCACUGCCAGAGUCCCUACAGGCUGCUCUUGGCAGACUUUGCCUGUGGGCAGGGGUAGAGGCACCUUGCUGUGUCUGUAGCCGUCUCGGGACUGUCAGUCGUGACCAAAGCAUGAACUUCGUCAUCUUGGAUUCUGCAUUGCCCAAGCUAUUUUCUUCUGAUCAUCAGCCCUACCCUGUCUUAGCAGAUAUCUCCAUCAGGUACUUGGUGUGGUGACAGUAGCCACCAGACAUCGUGUCACCCAGAUGUGGGCAUUUGUCACUGCUGUCCUAGCCCAUGAGGAGGCAAGGGCCUGGUCAGGGUAAAGGAAGUGCUGAGCUGACAGCCACAGGCCCUGUGCUCCCAUGGGCCCAGGGAUGCUUGUGUGAAGGGUGUGAGGGGAAGGUCCUCAGGCUGCACUCCGGGGGCCAUGUCAGACCUUCAGUGGUGGUUUGGAGACAGUGACCUGGUGAAGGCGGGGCACCUCCUGGCAAGAAAACAUGUGGGCAGGAGGGCCCGUCUGCUGUGGUUGCUGAGUCAGCUGCCACAGGGCAGCCGCGCCCCAUCCUAGCCUCACUGAGCACUGAGCCUUGCUCUGCUGCAGCUCCCCAGAGUGACUCCACCUCCAGGGACUGCCCAGCAAAAAUGUUUCCCUCUAGUUAAAAAAAAAUCCACAGCCACCUUAGGCCCUUCCUUUAGAGGUGCUGUGGGCCAUGCCACCUGAGCCUGACCAUGGCACCAUGCCCAGCUCACAGCAUUCCCUGCCAGGCCUGGGAGACAGUGCCUUCUGAAGAGAUGCCUUCCUUCAUGGUCUCUGAAAAAGAUGUAUGAAAUAGGAAAUAGUGCUAGGUGGUUUGUUCCUUCCCUAGACUCUGACCUGACGGGAUACCACUGCCCAUGUGGGCUCUCCUGCUGCCUUCCCCCGGGAAGAAGAGCCAGUGACAUGAACCCUCAGGCUGACUGGAGUUGGCCCAGUCAAUGAGGGGAGGGAGGGACAGCGUAGGAAAAGAACC